GAUGAACGCUGGCGGCGUGCCUAAUACAUGCAAGUCGAGCGAACAGACGAGGAGCUUGCUCCUCUGACGUUAGCGGCGGACGGGUGAGUAACACGUGGAUAACCUACCUAUAAGACUGGGAUAACUUCGGGAAACCGGAGCUAAUACCGGAUAAUAUAUUGAACCGCAUGGUUCAAUAGUGAAAGACGGUUUUGCUGUCACUUAUAGAUGGAUCCGCGCCGCAUUAGCUAGUUGGUAAGGUAACGGCUUACCAAGGCAACGAUGCGUAGCCGACCUGAGAGGGUAGGAGGCCACACUGACAGGAGACACGGUCCCGGACCCCAGAGGGAGGGGACAGGAGGGAAUCGGCAGCAGUGGGCGAAGCCUGGAGGGAACACCGCGCGGUGAGUAAGGAGGUCUUCGUGAUGAAAAAACUUUUUUAUGGGGGAAAAAAAAAGUUGUAAGUACAUGUCCCCGUGUUGAGGGUCCCUAAGAAAAAGGCACGCGCUAACCCGGUC
rnacentral:rRNA from 1 species